GAGUUUGAUCCUGGCUCAGAAUCAACGCUGGCGGCGUGCCUAACACAUGCAAGUCGAGCGAGAAAAGGGCUUCGGCCCUUAGUAAAGCGGCGCACGGGUGAGUAACACGUGGGUAAUCUGCCUCGAAGUGGGGAAUAACACCGGGAAACCGGUGCUAAUACCGCAUAAUCUGAUGGAGUCUGCGGAUUCUAUCGGCAAAGGAGCAAUUCGCUUUGAGAGGAGCCCGCGCCUGAUUAGCUAGUUGGUGAGGUAAUGGCUCACCAAGGCAACGAUCAGUAGCCGGUCUGAGAGGACGGUCGGCCACACUGGAACUGAGACACGGUCCAGACUCCUACGGGAGGCAGCAGUGGGGAAUUUUUGGCAAUGGGCGAAAGCCUGACCAAGCAACGCCGCGUGGGUGAUGAAGUAUCUUGGUACGUAAAACCCUUUCGACGGGGACGAAACCGCAAGGUGACGGUACCCGAGAAGAA
rnacentral:rRNA from 1 species